rnacentral:rRNA from 1 species
GGCAGGUACANAGGGGUGCUACCGGGUGACCGGAUGCCGAUCUCGAAAACCUGUCCCAGUUCGGACUGGAGUCUGCAACCCGACUCCACGAAGUUGGAUUCGCUAGUAAUCGCGCAUCAGCCAUGGCGCGGUGAAUACGUUCCCGGGCCUUGUACACACCGCCCGUCAAGCCAUGGGAGCCGGGGGCGCCUGAAGUCCGGGACCGCGAGGACCGGCCUAGGGCGAAACUGGUGACUGGGGCUAAGUCGUAACAAGGUAGC